GCCUGGGUGGCUCAGUGGUUGAGCGUCUGCCUUCAGCUCAGGUCGUGAUCCUGGGGUCCUGGGAUUGAGUCCCACAUCAGGCU
rnacentral:tRNA from 1 species